rnacentral:rRNA from 1 species
GAUGAACGCUGGCGGCGUGCCUAAUACAUGCAAGUCGAGCGAACGGACGAGAAGCUUGCUUCUCUGAUGUUAGCGGCGGACGGGUGAGUAACACGUGGAUAACCUACCUAUAAGACUGGGAUAACUUCGGGAAACCGGAGCUAAUACCGGAUAAUAUUUUGAACCGCAUGGUUCAAAAGUGAAAGACGGUCUUGCUGUCACUUAUAGAUGGAUCCGCGCUGCAUUAGCUAGUUGGUAAGGUAACGGCUUACCAAGGCAACGAUGCAUAGCCGACCUGAGAGGCUGAUCGGCCACACUGGAACUGGGACAGGGUCCAGAGUCCUACGGGAGGCAGCAGUAGGGAAUGUUCCGCAAUGGGCGAAAGCCUGACGGAGCAACGCCGCGUGAGUGAUGAAGGUCUUCGGAUCGUAAAGCUCUGUUAUGAGGGGAGAACAUAUGUGUAAGUAACUGUGCACAGCUUGACGGUACCUAAUCAGAAAGCCACGGCUAACUACGUG